GCCUACGAGAGUAGGCCGCAGUGAAUAGGCUCAAGCAACUGUUUAUCAAAAACACAGGUCUCUGCUAAAGCGUAAGCUGAUGUAUAGGGGCUGACGCCUGCCCGGUGCUGGAAGGUUAAGGGGAAUAGUUAGCGCAAGCGAAGCUAUGAACUUAAGCCCCAGUAAACGGCGGCCGUAACUAUAACGGUCCUAAGGUAGCGAAAUUCCUUGUCGGGUAAGUUCCGACCCGCACGAAUGGCGUAAUGAUUUGAGCACUGUCUCGGCAAUAAAUCCGGUGAAAUUGUAGUGCAAGUGAAGAUGCUUGCUACCCGCGGUUGGACGGAAAGACCCCGUAGAGCUUUACUGUAGCUUAGCAUUGAAUUUCGGUAUUGUCUGUACAGGAUAGGUGGGAGACUUAGAAGCGAGGGCGUCAGCUUUCGUGGAGUCGUCCUUGGGAUACCACCCUGACAGUACUGGAAUUCUAACUGGAGGCCAUGAAUCUGGUCACAGGACAUUGCUAGGUGGGCAGUUUGACUGGGGCGGUCGCCUCCUAAAAGG
rnacentral:rRNA from 1 species